UUCCACUCCACCUCUUGCGCGCGAUAGAGAGAAAUGGUUUUCACUGCUUCGCUCUCUGGUGCUGUUUCUCUCAAACUCUCACCUUCUCCACAUGCUGAAGCCUCGUCGUCAUCUUCAUGGUCGAAAUCAACUCUUUUCAUGGGAGCUCCAAUUACCUUUUGUCCUACUCGAAGUGGUAAGCAAUCGGAUACCCGAAAGACACUCGUUGUGUUCUCGAAGAGGAUUUCCGGUUUAGAAGAGGCAAUGAGAAUCAGGAGACAACGUGAGCUUCAAAGUCGAGUCAAGUUUCGAAAAAGACCGCCUUUGAGGCGUGGAAGGGUGUCGCCCCGUCUUCCUGUGCCUGAUCAUAUUCCUAAGCCGCCUUACGUUGGUUCAGAUGUCUUACCAGAGCUCUCCAGCGAGCAUCAAUUUCAUGAUUCUGAAGGCAUUGCUCGAAUGAGAGCUGCUUGUGAGCUUGCAGCUCGCGUCUUGGACUUUGCGGGGAAAUUGGUUAGGCCAUCAGUGACAACGAAUGAGAUUGACAAAGCAGUACACCAGAUGAUCAUUGAGGCUGGUGCUUAUCCUUCUCCCCUUGGAUAUGGAGGAUUUCCCAAGAGUGUGUGCACAUCUGUUAAUGAGUGCAUGUGUCAUGGGAUACCUGAUUCCCGUCAGUUACAGGUCUGUCUGUUGUUGCUUGUGUGAAUUAUAUGCAUAUGAACGCUAACAAUCGUCUACUGUGCAGGAUGGUGACAUAAUAAACAUUGAUGUGACAGUCUAUUUAAAUGUAUGUUCCUGAUCGCUAUAAUUUUGUCUCUAAUUUAGCUCAUUCCUAUACAUGUUUCAUUAGUUUACUAAAAAAAUCUUCUACACCUGUAAAAUACCUAGUGUUGACAGUCUCAGACAUCAUCAGUUCAUCCUUCCUAUUAAUUUGUUUAUUUCUAGUCCCAUACAGUUGUACUUAACUGUUGAUAUUUUAUGGUACAAUGUAGACUGUAGAGUGUAUCCUUGAUGCUUUAGCUGUACAAUUGUCAAUUCAUUUACUUUUUAAGUGCAAUAACUUGGUGCAUGGCUUUUUGAGUAUUCUAGGAGACAAAAAUUAACAAAUGCUGACUAAAUUUUACAGUGGGAUGUUUGAGGAGACAUGUUUGUAGCAUCAUGGUAUGUAUAACAGAGAAUCAUUAGUAGCAUCAGUUAUCCAACAUCAAAUUAUUAUCAAGAGCUAUUCUAGUGCCAGAAAAGUCUAUAGGAGUACUUUGAACAUCAGAACCUAUUGUAUUGAACUAUUUUAGAUGAAUUAUAUAAGAAUUAACUAAUAUUUAAAAGAAAUAUGAUUUAAAGUUUGUUCAACAAUUUCUUUACUAUCAAAUGGUGGAUAAUUUAUAUUAUUUGCAACCAUUAUUGUUUUUUACUGCAUAUAUUCUUUUUGGCCUAUAGGCAGACAUAAAGGAGGAAAAUGAUUCCCAAUUGGUUUGGGAUGAAACAUUAAUUGCUGAAUUGAAUAAAAUGCAACUAUCCUAUGACAAACAUAGCAAAUAACAUGACAUAUAUUAUUAAUCUGCUUUAAAUGUGCCGUAACAUAGGAAGAAUGUAUACCUGAUUUGUCUAUGUGUCAUAUGCUUUCUCUUGCUUAUUAGGGAUAUCAUGGUGACACAUCAAAGAUGUUUCUGUGUGGGAACGUUAGUGACUCUCUUAAGCGUCUUGUGAAGGUGACAGAAGAGUGCAUGGAAAAAGGAAUAGCUGCUUGCAAGGAUGGUGCUAGUUUCAAGAAAAUUGGGAAGAGAAUUAGUGAGCAUGCUGAAAAAUAUGGUUACGGUGUGGUGGAGCGUUUUGUUGGACAUGGUGUAGGGACCGUGUUUCAUUCUGAACCAGUAAUACUGCAUCACCGGAAUGAAAUGCCUGGUAAAAUGGUUGAAGGUCAAACAUUUACAAUUGAGGGGUGCAUGUGGGCUGGGUUGUGUGGGUUAGGGGUAGCAUGAUGCCCAUUAACUCCAUGACAUUGUUGAAAUGUUCAACUUAAAUAUAUGAGCUAGUAGAUGGAAAAGGCUAAGCACAGAAUUUGAGGCCAUUCUGCAUUUCUUUCAGCUUGGUAGGUACAUCAUAAUUUGGGCGGAAAAGAAUAGUGAUUUAAGUUAGUGCUGUACAUUGACCUUUUUUUUGGCACUGGAUUAUUACAAUUUGUUUUUAUCUUUCUGCUGCAGAACCAAUUCUUACGAUGGGAAGUAUUGAGUGUGUAACAUGGCCUGACAACUGGACAACUUUAACAGCGGAUGGCAGCCCUGCUGCACAGUUUGAGCAGACCAUUUUAAUUACCAAAACUGAUGCGGAAAUUUUGACAAAAUGUUGAAUAAUGUUAAUCACUUUCUGUUUUUGCCUCGAUAUUACUUUACAUGUUAUGCAAUUCUGGUAAAGAUGCUAAUCCAUUUCCAUUCAAAUGGCUCUGUAAUGUUUAAACUAUUUAAUAUUGGCACUAUCAUGAUUUCAGAAGUACCAAUUGCUUAAUGCCUGGCCUAGGUGAACAGAGUUACAGAGUAUGUUACUAUUGUUGUCAUUAUAUUCCUAGGAUUGGGAAAGCAAUUUGAAGAAACACGACUUCCAUUUAUGGCUAAACAAAUGCUGAUUGACCUUACAGAAAUUUUAUUAUGAAUUUGCAUGUAAGUAUCUGAACACAUCCUGUUGUUAUGUUCAGUUGGGUGGCUGAAUUACAAAUUUAACUGCGAAAUCUCGAAACAGUUGAUUGUAUUUACUUUUAAAUUACUUGAGCAGCCUAGCCUAGACUACUCUUGCGGAAAAUGGUCCAGAAACUUGGGAUUCAGCAUCAUACACAACUAGAUAUGAUUUAGCAUGCUUUGAUGUGUGAGCAAGGGCAGACUUAAAGCUCAUGCGCCAUCUUUGGAUUGGCUAAGAUGUGCUACAUGAUGCCACUAAGGCUGUGUUUGGAAUUGUGGUUGAGAGGUCAAAAAACUUGUUUGAAACUACUUUUAAAAUCACUCUUUUAAAUGUUAAAAAAAAAAACAAUUUCAAAAAGUAAUUUUAUUAUUUUGAAAUUUUUAUAAUUAAAAUAUGUCAAAUUUAAAUUGAAAUUAAAGGCCCUUAAUAAACAUUUCUGAGAUAGUGUUUUUCUCAACAAUAGCUC
rnacentral:misc_RNA from 1 species